rnacentral:rRNA from 1 species
AUUGAACGCUGGCGGCAUGCCUUACACAUGCAAGUCGAACGGUAACAGGUCUUCGGAUGCUGACGAGUGGCGAACGGGUGAGUAAUACAUCGGAACGUGCCCGAUCGUGGGGGAUAACGCAGCGAAAGCUGUGCUAAUACCGCAUACGAUCUACGGAUGAAAGCGGGGGGAUCGCAAGACCUCGCGCGGACGGAGCGGCCGAUGGCAGAUUAGGUAGUUGGUGGGAUAAAAGCUUACCAAGCCGACGAUCUGUAGCUGGUCUGAGAGGACGACCAGCCACACUGGGACUGAGACACGGCCCAGACUCCUACGGGAGGCAGCAGUGGGGAAUUUUGGACAAUGGGCGCAAGCCUGAUCCAGCCAUGCCGCGUGCAGGAUGAAGGCCUUCGGGUUGUAACUAGCUUUGUACGGAACGAAAAGGCUCUCUCUAAUACAGGGGUGA